AAUAUUUUAAAAUUUGCAAAAUAGGAAACAGGAAGAAAAUUUCUACUGAAGGUUUUUGCAAAUUAUAGAGGUUGUGGAGUGUGGAGAGUGCAGGUAUAGCAAACCUAUGGAGUAGCAGUUAGCAGGGUGUUUAAAUUUUGGGUUCAUGAUUUGCUUUUUAAGGUUGGCCAAUUUUUAAAAAAAGUUUUUUUAAAUGUUUAUUUUUGAGAGAGACACACACAUACACUGAGUGUGAGCGGGGGAGGGGCAGAGAGAGAGGGAGACACAGAUUCUGAAGCAGGCUCCAGGCUCUGAGCUGUCAGCAGGGCUCGGAACUCAUGAACUGUGAGGUCAUGACCUGAGCUGAAGUCCGAUACUUAACCAAAUGAGCCACCCAGGCGCCCCCAGUUUUUAACUCUCUGAUAAAUAAUGGUAGAAACUAAAGAACUUUUUUCUUUACAGAUUUUUAUGAUCUGUUUGUCAUUAUAUUUAUUUUAUUACUAUUAUUGUUAUUAUAUAUAUUUUUUUUUUAAUUUUUUUUUUUUCAACGUUUAUUUAUUUUUGGGACAGAGAGAGACAGAGCAUGAACGGGGGAGGGGCAGAGAGAGAGGGAGACACAGAAUCGGAAACAGGCUCCAGGCUCCGAGCCAUCAGCCCAGAGCCCGAUGCGGGGCUCGAACUCACGGACCGCGAGAUUGUGACCUGGCUGAAGUCGGACGCUUAACCGACUGCGCCACCCAGGCGCCCC